GAGGUCCCGCAGGACCUCAUACUAGAAGACAUUGAGGAUGAUGAGCUACCCCGUGACGAGGAGAAGCCUGCGUCCCACAAUCACCGCCGUCCCAUUGAGGUCCCGGAGGACCUCAUACUAGAAGACAUUGAGGAUGAUGAGCUACCCCGUGACGAGGAGAAGCCUGCGUCCCACAAUCACCGCCGUACGUAUUCUUUUUCUUUUAAAUAGUUACCCAGACGUAGUGCAUAUGCAACCAAAUUCACU
rnacentral:lncRNA from 13 species